CCUACGGGUGGCUGCAGUGGGGAAUAUUGCACAAUGGGCGCAAGCCUGAUGCAGCCAUGCCGCGUGUGUGAAGAAGGCCUUCGGGUUGUAAAGCACUUUCAGCGGGGAGGAAGGCGGUGAGGUUAAUAACCUCAUCGAUUGACGUUACCCGCAGAAGAAGCACCGGCUAACUCCGUGCCAGCAGCCGCGGUAAUACGGAGGGUGCAAGCGUUAAUCGGAAUUACUGGGCGGAAAGCGCACGCAGGCGGUCUGUCAAGUCGGAUGUGAAAUCCCCGGGCUCAACCUGGGAACUGCAUUCGAAACUGGCAGGCUAGAGUCUUGUAGAGGGGGGUAGAAUUCCAGGUGUAGCGGUGAAAUGCGUAGAGAUCUGGAGGAAUACCGGUGGCGAAGGCGGCCCCCUGGACAAAGACUGACGCUCUGGUGCGAAAGCGUGGGGAGCAAACAGGAUUAGAUACCCCGGUAGUC
rnacentral:rRNA from 1 species